rnacentral:rRNA from 1 species
CGAGUGGCGCACGGGUGAGUAACGCGUGGAUAUCUGCCUUUUGGUUCGGAAUAACCCCGGGAAACUGGGGCUAAUACCGAAUGGUUCCUUCGGGAUAAAGAUUUAUCGCCAAAAGAUGAGUCCGCGUACGAUUAGCUAGUUGGUGAGGUAAUGGCUCACCAAGGCGACGAUCGUUAGCUGGUCUGAGAGGACGAUCAGCCACACUGGGACUGAGACACGGCCCAGACUCC